rnacentral:lncRNA from 1 species
GGGCGCAGGUGCCGACCGGCCGGGCAAGGAGGAGGUUCACCGCCACCCACCGUCGAUCAGACCUGUAAGUGUUCGACUUACGUAUUUUGGACUCCUCUUUGAUUUUUUUUUUUUUGAAAUUACACUUUUGUUCCUGUAGUGCGGCGUCGGAUGUCGACCCCGGCCAGGCUGCCAGCCAAGGGACGGGCGAGCCAGUCCAUGCUGCUGAGG